AUUGAACGCUGGCGGCAUGCCUUACACAUGCAAGUCGAACGGCAGCACGGGGGCAACCCUGGUGGCGAGUGGCGAACGGGUGAGUAACGCAUCGGAACGUGCCCAGUAGUGGGGGAUAACCAGUCGAAAGAUUGGCUAAUACCGCAUACGACCUACGGGUGAAAGCGGGGGACCGUAAGGCCUCGCGCUAUUGGAGCGGCCGAUGUCCGAUUAGCUAGUUGGUGGGGUAAAAGCCUACCAAGGCGACGAUCGGUAGCUGGUCUGAGAGGACGACCAGCCACACUGGGACUGAGACACGGCCCAGACUCCUACGGGAGGCAGCAGUGGGGAAUUUUGGACAAUGGGCGCAAGCCUGAUCCAGCCAUGCCGCGUGCGGGAAGAAGGCCUUCGGGUUGUAAACCGCUUUUGGCGGGAACGAAACGGCGCGAGCGAAUACCUCGCGCUAAUGACGGUACCUGCAGAAUAAGCACCGGCUAACUACGUGCCAGCAGCCGCGGUAAUAC
rnacentral:rRNA from 1 species